CGCCUACACAUGAUAGGCGGCAAAACCGCUUUGCGCCGGCCGCUCCAUUGAUUUCCUAGGCGCUGUACUACCCCUGCCGUUGCGCACCGCUCGGAUUUGCCGCUUUGCACUGCGCUCAAAGUUUAAAUUAUUUCAACUUUGACCUAUUUGCCGCUGACCUUUCGAAAGCGGAACAAAUGAGAUAACAUCAUGUUGUUACCUAGCAACAGGAAAUAGCUUCCUUGCCACCCUUGAUGACAAAUACCUGCGCUGCGCUUUACUCUCUGGGCUUUGCUCUGCACCCUACCUAGCGGUGCGCAGAGAGCAAAUCGCUUAUCUAACAGAGGAAAUCUCA